CUCAGGACGAACGCUGGCGGCGUGCCUAAUACAUGCAAGUCGAACGAACUCUGGUAUUGAUUGGUGCUUGCAUCAUGAUUUACAUUUGAGUGAGUGGCGAACUGGUGAGUAACACGUGGGAAACCUGCCCAGAAGCGGGGGAUAACACCUGGAAACAGAUGCUAAUACCGCAUAACAACUUGGACCGCAUGGUCCGAGCUUGAAAGAUGGCUUCGGCUAUCACUUUUGGAUGGUCCCGCGGCGUAUUAGCUAGAUGGUGGGGUAACGGCUCACCAUGGCAAUGAUACGUAGCCGACCUGAGAGGGUAAUCGGCCACAUUGGGACUGAGACACGGCCCAAACUCCUACGGGAGGCAGCAGUAGGGAAUCUUCCACAAUGGACGAAAGUCUGAUGGAGCAACGCCGCGUGAGUGAAGAAGGGUUUCGGCUCGUAAAACUCUGUUGUUAAAGAAGAACAUAUCUGAGAGUAACUGUUCAGGUAUUGACGGUAUUUAACCAGAAAGCCACGGCUAACUACGUGCCAGCAGCCGCGGUAAUACGUAGGUGGCAAGCGUUGUCCGGAUUUAUUGGGCGUAAAGCGAGCGCAGGCGGUUUUUUAAGUCUGAUGUGAAAGCCUUCGGCUCAACCGAAGAAGUGCAUCGGAAACUGGGAAACUUGAGUGCAGAAGAGGACAGUGGAACUCCAUGUGUAGCGGUGAAAUGCGUAGAUAUAUGGAAGAACACCAGUGGCGAAGGCGGCUGUCUGGUCUGUAACUGACGCUGAGGCUCGAAAGUAUGGGUAGCAAACAGGAUUAGAUACCCUGGUAGUCCAUACCGUAAACGAUGAAUGCUAAGUGUUGGAGGGUUUCCGCCCUUCAGUGCUGCAGCUAACGCAUUAAGCAUUCCGCCUGGGGAGUACGGCCGCAAGGCUGAAACUCAAAGGAAUUGACGGGGGCCCGCACAAGCGGUGGAGCAUGUGGUUUAAUUCGAAGCUACGCGAAGAACCUUACCAGGUCUUGACAUACUAUGCAAAUCUAAGAGAUUAGACGUUCCCUUCGGGGACAUGGAUACAGGUGGUGCAUGGUUGUCGUCAGCUCGUGUCGUGAGAUGUUGGGUUAAGUCCCGCAACGAGCGCAACCCUUAUUAUCAGUUGCCAGCAUUAAGUUGGGCACUCUGGUGAGACUGCCGGUGACAAACCGGAGGAAGGUGGGGAUGACGUCAAAUCAUCAUGCCCCUUAUGACCUGGGCUACACACGUGCUACAAUGGAUGGUACAACGAGUUGCGAACUCGCGAGAGUAAGCUAAUCUCUUAAAGCCAUUCUCAGUUCGGAUUGUAGGCUGCAACUCGCCUACAUGAAGUCGGAAUCGCUAGUAAUCGCGGAUCAGCAUGCCGCGGUGAAUACGUUCCCGGGCCUUGUACACACCGCCCGUCACACCAUGAGAGUUUGUAACACCCAAAGUCGGUGGGGUAACCUUUUAGGAACCAGCCGCCUAAGGUGGGACAGAUGAUUAGGGUGAAG
rnacentral:rRNA from 1 species